rnacentral:tRNA from 1 species
GGCCUUGUGGCGCAACUGGUAGCGCGUCUGACUCCAGAUCAGAAGGUGAAGUGUUCAAAUCACUUCAAGGUCA